CAGUCAAAUUACAUGUAUAUAUAGCCAUUAGUGGUAACUGAAUACCCAUCCUCAAAGCCCACGUUUACAUUAAGGAAACUGAAUAAAGAAACUGAUUACAUAUUAAAGAAACUAAAUAUUAACUGACAGCCAUUGCUUUUGUUGGAAAUCAGGUGACUGCUUGGAACUUGGUCCUGCAUGCAUGCAAUCUUCACUCUUCCACGUACCUGCGGGUCUUCUUACGCAUGCGUUGAGAUUGCCUAGAUUGCCAUGGCUUAUCAUUACCUCCCCGUUGAAGUGGACUCUUGUCCUCAAGGUCCACAUCCUUGAACUGGUUAAUCAGCUCCUGAGUAUCUUCCCAGGUAGCCUCUUCUGCUGGAAGACGAAGCCACUUAACCUGGCUUUCCUGGACAAACUUCUUCCCUUUUUUAACCCAGCGCGUCUCCAAGAUUGACUCGGGUUUCAGUUCAACAAUGCCAUCCUAAGAAAUGGGCGGUAGUUCUUGUUGAAAGCACAAGGAGCAACCAGCUUCUUUUUCAGUAAGG
rnacentral:lncRNA from 1 species